UAUAAAGUUAAAAUUCUAACAGACGAUCAAUUAGAGGGCAAGUCUGGUGCCAGCAGCCGCGGUAAUUCCAGCUCUAAUAGGAUAUAUCAAAGUUGUUGCAGUUGAAAAGCUCGUAGUCGUAUUUCUGGCGGGUUGAUGUUCUUGCUUGUGUUUGAUGAAAGUCGAAUGCAGCAAAGGGCCGCCUGCCAUUUUGUGGAUCAAAGAUGGAAUAAGUAUGCGUAAGUAUGUUUGUUCAUCUCCACUCAGUCACUGAGAGCAAAUUGGAGUGCUCAAAGCAGGCUUUACAGCUUUGAACAUUUUAGCUUGGAAUGACAAAGUAAGACUUCUAGUCCACUUUGUUGGUUCUGAAUGAGAAGUAAUGAUGAAUAGGAACAGUUGCGGGGGUACUCGUACUGGAAAGUCAGAGGUGAAAUUCUUGGAUUUUUCCACGACGAACAACUGCGAAAGCAUUUACCAAGGAUGUUUUCAUUGAUCAAGAACGAAAGUGCGAGGAUCGAAGAUGAUUAGAUACCAUCGUAGUUCGCACAGUAAACGAUGCCGACUCGGGAUUGGGAUUCAUUCGUUAUUUAAGAAGGAUCUCAGCACCGUAUGUGAAAACAAAGUCUUUGGGUUCCGGGGGGAGUAUGGUCGCAAGGUUGAAACUUAAAGGAAUUGACGGAAGGGCACACCAGAGGUGGAGCCUGCGGUUUAAUUUGACUCAACACGGGGAAACUCACCAGGUCCAGACAUGAGAAGGAUUGAUAGUUUGAAAGCACUUUCUUGAUUUCAUGGGUGGUGGUGCAUGGCCGUUCUUAGUUGGUGGAGUGAUUUGUCUGGUUGAUUCCGAUAACGUACGAGACUCUCAGAGUAAACUGGCUUUGAAGUAAUUCACGUUACUUCAAGCCUCUUUUCUCGACAAUUCGUUUUAAACGAAAGGAAGCAGAGAGCAAUAACAGGUCUGUGAUGCCCCUCGAUGUUCUGGGCUACACGCGCGCUACAAUGACGAGUUCAACGAGUUUUUUCCUUGCCCGGAAGGGUGUGGGUAAUCUUUUCAAUGCUCGUCGUGAUGGGGCUAGAUUUUUGCAAUUAUUAAUCUUCAACGAGGAAUCUCUAGUAUGUGCAGUUCAUCAGACUGCGCAGAAUGCGUCCCUGCCCUUUGUACACACCGCCCGUCGCACCUACCGAUUGGACGAUCCGGCAAGAUGUUUGGAGUUGUGUUUUUUUGUCGCAAGAUGAUUAACGUGACGAAGCUCCUCAA
rnacentral:rRNA from 1 species